rnacentral:lncRNA from 1 species
AGAACUUAUUAUUAUUUCCCUCCGAACAAAAAAACAUGAUUGGUUUAUUUACCCAUAAAAUAUUUGAAGUAUGUCAAAUGAAAAAACAUUCCUAGGCCUGGAAGUGAGAAAACACAUUACACUCAUCGAGGUAGAUAUCAUUCUGUGCGUACCUUGCCAUAGACCACAUCGGAUUUUAAGAUUCUAGAUGAACUUCAGCAAAGUGAAGUGAAACCUUUUUCUAACCUGAGAACUGCAGAAAAUUAGCUUGAUUUAUUUAACCUAAGCAAAUAAACUCUUAACUACUUAUGGCAAGUAUAUUUGAACUGAUGUAUCCUUUUUCUAGUUACUGAAUUGUUGUAGUAUUACUUCCUGCCCUUCCAAACUCGUACUGAAAACAUGUACCAAAGAACAUCAUGCAUCAGUGUUCAGAAGACAUACAAGAGCUACACACUGCCGUGAGGUACCAACUUUUCAACGGUUCAGUUCAAAAUUCAACAAUUCAAUUUUCAAUAGAUCAAACCAAGGAAAGACAACUGACCGAAGGGGUGGCCAACGGCCACAGUUGCUCACUGCGUGCACGACAGUGUCCAACAACCUCUAUCCUGGCUCAUUGUGGAACGACGUGCUGGGCGUAAUCCACGGCCUGGCAUAUGAGAUGCAAAAAAGAGUUAGAGAGGACUUAAGCUAAUUUUUUAUAGCUGAUGAUGUAGCAUUACAAAAAAUAAUAUACUUUAGCCCAUAAAUGCAAAGUACUAUGAACUUUUCCGGAGCUUUUUGUUGAACUGAAGCAUGCUCCAGAGCAGGACGAGAUCGAGCGGAUUGGGAGGAUGCUGAGCAACAUAUUGGAGAUGCAAGACCACAUUACAUCAAUUAGCGAUGUCACUGAACUUUGGGACAUUUAUACUACAAGAAUUGAUUCUACAGCAAUCUUGAACUUUCAAGUUCCAUACGCAAGAUAGCUACAAUUUGCUAAAAUCAAUCACCAGCAGAAAAAACACCAAAAGGUUCUUCAAAUGGUUGCUUGAGGAAGAGCCAAAGCUAUUUUGGGGUGGCGGACGGCAGCAGCAUGUGGGCUGGGUUGUCUCGCACUGGGAAGGAUGAGGAAAACGGCAACCCAACCACUAUAGUGGGAAUAGGAGCUGACGGCCGUGGACUGCUGCUUGGCUGAACUCGAUCGUCCGGAUGCCACGGGGCUGGAUUGGGGACGGCGCUGGACAUAUUGCAACAAUUACCAAGGAGCUUAGAGCAGCAGUGUACAUCGGCAAUGGACUGCUCAUGGCGAAGUGCGUGCCUCCCAAGCCGCGGCGUCGAACUACUUCGAGUUGUGUUGUUGAACAACCCGGUGUGGCGAUGGUGAACGGCAUGGGCGGUGCCGCGGUGGAGCCCCACCAGCAGUGGCAGGAAGCUCGACACAAUCGGCCUAGUAGCUACGACGGUGAACGGCCUGGGGUGGCCGGGUUGGAUGCUGGUCGCAGUGGCGGCGAACCCAACGCCCUGGCCACACCGGGAUGGUAGGCAACCAGAAGGAGCGGAGGGGCGUGUCCACGACGGAGAGAUUGAAAGGCCUGUGGUUGCGGCGUUGAACUGCCUGUACGCGACAGUGGAGCGAUAGCAGCGCAUGAAUCUGGUAUAGGCGACAGCCAUGGUGGUCGUUGUGUUGCAGUGCGGCGGCCCUAUUUGUCUAUCGGCAAGCUAGAUGUAUGUGUUAAAAAUGGCUAAUGCAGCAUUGGUGGAGCUAUGUGUAUUACUGCAGGGGCCAUGCCCCCCAGCUCUUGGAUUUUUUGUGAAGAAAUUCUGACAAAGAAGACGAAUAGGGCAGGAACAUUGCUUUAUUUGACAAAACUCAUUGGCUGAGGUGGAUUUGGUAGUGGGUUCAUGUUAGGUGUUACAGGAACAUUGACAUUUGAAGAGGCCUUGUCUUGCCCAGAGAUCUGUCAAAAAUAAAGGGCAUAAUCUCAGGGUUGAGUCUUUUACUACUACUUCGUAAAUAAAUAUAUAAACUGAAAUCUAGUAAUGGUAAGAACCUCAGGUAUUGGGUUGGACCUAGAAUCAACUAUUCAGAGAAUGUAACUCACUAUACCAUAAGAACAACACACUGCAAUCUAUACUACAACAAAUUAGAUAACCAGGGAGAAAAAAGAAACGCGCCGCAAAUUUAAGUGUUCUAUUGUGAAGCCGAACAAGGCCAGAAAACAGCCUAACAGCAUACUGGGCAAUCUCCUCUAUUUCAUACUCAGCAAAAGCAAAACGUUUGGGUCGACUAGUUUCCUUGUCACGGGGUAUGUGCAAGUCUACUACACGACCUACCUGAAUAAGAAUCUCAUACAAAACCCUCUCCGAGACCUUUUCAUCCAAGUUACCUAUUUAAGAAAUACACAGUUCAAGAAUUAAUACAGUACUGGUGAUUACUCCAUUAUAUUUAGGCAUGCAAAAAAGAGAGGCAAAGUGGAACAAUAACAAUCGUUGAAAAAUAGCGAAACUAGAGUACAGCAACACGUCAACCAUGGUAAACAUAUAUAUGCAAAAAAGAGGGGCAAAGUGGGACAUGAACAAUCAUUGAAAAAUAGCAGAACUAGAGUACUGCAACAGUGUCAACUAUGAAAAACAUAGAUCAGUCAACUAGCAGAACUAGAGGAUCUGCAACAGCCUAACAGUAAAUAAAACUGUCAAGGGCCUCGGUGCCCAAGACAGCAGGACCUCGACUACGUAGUUCGUAGUCGCGGUGGAUAGGAGCGCUAGGGUUUUUGCCUGGCUGCUCUAUGAUGCGGGAGGGGAAGAUAGAAGGAAAUAACUUUAUUGCUUAUCCCUAAAGGGUGCUAACUAUCUGAUAUAUAAAGGCCCCAUGGGCUAAUAACAAACUAGAAACCUAUACGAAACAAACUAGUCUAGGAACUAAUGUGCCCGGAUCAGGACUCCUGUCCAGCCUGCGCCUUGCCUGAUGCGGCCAUCGGCUGCUCCUGGCCGCGCGGCCCACGUCUGUAAGACAUGCCCCACAUGACAAAAACCACUAAGAUACCCUGAUACAAAAGCAUGUUCAUUUCUAUCUUACAACAAUGUCUUUCAAGAAGCAUAGUUAGUUAUAAGCUGUGGUGAAUUCCUAUCAGUGACACAAAGUUGUCAGCUACUUAAAUAGGCCCUCUAUGGCUAGCCCUAUAACGUGUACCAUUAAUCCAUGAUGGUCAUAAAUCUCACAACUCUAUCAUUCACACAUCUAACCCUGGAUAAUGCAUUUACUAAGCAGGUUCAAUUUGCAAUUAGAUUUGGUUUUCAGGCAUAUAUGCUUAUGCUGAUUUUCACUAUGUGCAUGCUUACAAAAUUUCAAUUGAAAGCACCACAGAGCCCAGAACACCAAGAAUGAUUGUUGCACAAGGAAAUCAGCAUGUUCAAGUUAAUUAAUCUGCCAAUAUACAAGUAAACAUAGUACAGAGAACAAUAUUCCGAAUCUAGGAGCUAGGUAAGCAACACAUAAGGCAAUCACCGACUGUGCAAGCUUAAUAAUCAAUUAAACUAUACUAUCCAAACUACGGUGAUUGAAGCAUAAACUGUUGUGGCUCUGAAUUUACCGGGGUGCUCUUCGUCGAGCUCCGUUGGCUGAGCGGCCGGGCGAGGUCGCGGAGGCAGAGGUAGGUGGUGUCGGUGGGCAAGGGGCAUGCAUCAGCAGCAGCAGAAAUGCUGCAGCUGAGCUAGACAGUCGUAGGUGCAGUAGCAGCUUGUAGCAAGGAGCGGCCUGCACUCAGCUCCUUGAGCGACUGGCCACAAAACAAGAAGUUGUACUGUUGGGCAGGAGGUCCUCAACCCCGCAACUCCUCCAGCAGGCUCCACUGUUUGCCGUUGAAUUAUAAGCCAUGGCAUUGGAGUGGGAUGCGUCCACACUGACGACAUUGAACAGACAGGGGUGGUGGCUGCGAACUGCCUGUACGUGGUGGUGGCGUAGUACCAUCAGGGAGGAGGAAGAGUGGUGGCAGGGGAGCAUCACCUGCUGCCGGAGGAUAAGUUGGCAAUAUCGUAUUCUAUUAUGUAUUGAACUUAAGUGCAGGGUUGAAUUGAACUUUUCUAACACAUAUUCACUGAACUCGGUCCCCUUGAAUGUUUAUUUUUAUAGUUAUGUUGGCAUGAGGCUAUGAAAUACAUCUCAACAAUUGUUUUUGGGUGAGUUUCAAAAAAUAUAAUACUAAGUGAAAUACUGGGCAAUCUCCUCUAUUUCAUACUCAGCAAAAGCAAAACGUUUGGGUCGACUAGUUUCCUUGUCACGGGGUAUGUGCAAGUCUACUACACGACCUACCUGAAUAAGAAUCUCAUACAAAACCCUCUCCGAGACCUUUUCAUCCAAGUUACCUAUUUAAGAAAUACACAGUUCAAGAAUUAAUACAGUACUGGUGAUUACUCCAUUAUAUUUAGGCAUGCAAAAAAGAGAGGCAAAGUGGAACAAUAACAAUCGUUGAAAAAUAGCGAAACUAGAGUACAGCAACACGUCAACCAUGGUAAACAUAUAUAUGCAAAAAAGAGGGGCAAAGUGGGACAUGAACAAUCAUUGAAAAAUAGCAGAACUAGAGUACUGCAACAGUGUCAACUAUGAAAAACAUAGAUCAGUCAACUAGCAGAACUAGAGGAUCUGCAACAGCCUAACAGUAAAUAAAACUGUCAAGGGCCUCGGUGCCCAAGACAGCAGGACCUCGACUACGUAGUUCGUAGUCGCGGUGGAUAGGAGCGCUAGGGUUUUUGCCUGGCUGCUCUAUGAUGCGGGAGGGGAAGAUAGAAGGAAAUAACUUUAUUGCUUAUCCCUAAAGGGUGCUAACUAUCUGAUAUAUAAAGGCCCCAUGGGCUAAUAACAAACUAGAAACCUAUACGAAACAAACUAGUCUAGGAACUAAUGUGCCCGGAUCAGGACUCCUGUCCAGCCUGCGCCUUGCCUGAUGCGGCCAUCGGCUGCUCCUGGCCGUGCGGCCCACGUCUGUAAGACGUGCCCCACAUGACAUCUCUCCCCCCCUCGAGGAGCAGCUCGUCCUCGAGCUGAAAAGCGGGGUAGCGCUCGACGAAACUGUCAAGAUCCUCCCAUGUAGCUGACGAAGCUGCUUCACCCUUCCAGUGGACGAGUAGCUGGCGAACGCCGCGUGCUAGGCGCGCACGAGUCACGCGCUCUGGUUCUGGAACAGCCGCCCCGUUGUGGAUCGAAGGCAAUCCCGGCGGUGUAGUUGGAGGAAUGCCGAAGAACUUCUUGAGGAGGCCCACGUGGAACACGUCAUGGAGGCGCGAGCGUGCCGGAAGCUCAAGACGGUAUGCCACGUCGUUGAUCACUUCUGAAAUGCGGUACGGCCCAUAGAAUCGUGGCUUGAGCUUGCCCCUGGUUGGCAAGUUAAGAGAGGACGCGGCGCGCUGUCGAAGGCGAAGCCAAAGCCAAUCGCCCACCUCAUGCCGAAUGUCCCGAUGACGUCUGUCGUAGUAGGACUUAUAGACCGCCUGUGCCUGUUGUAGACGAUAGCGGACGUCCUCGAUAAGUUCGUCGCGCUCAGCCAUGCUCCUGGCCACUGCAGCCACCCGUGUGUCGCCGGGCUCGUAAGAGCGAAUAGUGGGAGGGUCACGGCCAUACACAAGCUUGAACGGAGUCUCUUGGGUUGCUGUCUGGUAGGCGGUGUUGUAUAUGUACUCAGCCCAGGGAAGCCACCGGAGCCACUGCUUGGGACGAUCCCCGGUAAGACACCGUAAAUACAUCACAAUGAUCUUGUUAGCAGCCUCCGUUUGACCAUCCGACUGCGGGUGAAAUGCUGACGUCAUGUGCAGCUUUGUCCCCGUGAGGCGCAUGAGCUCUCGCCAAAAAGCGGAGGUGAAGACGGGGUCGCGGUCAGAGACCAUGGACUGCGGCACGCCAUGGAGACGAACAACCUCAGCGAAGAACACCUGUGCCACUGACUCUGCCGUGUAUGGGUGGGCUAACGCCACAAAAUGGCAAUACUUACUGAAGCGAUCCACCACGGUGAGGAUGACAGACUUCCCGCCUACUCGAGGAAGCGCUUCCACGAAGUCGAUGCCGAUGUCAGUCCACACGCCCGUGGGCACCGGCAGCGGCAGUAGCAGCCCAGCGGGGUGCAAGUGCUCGGACUUGUACCGCUGGCAAGUACCGCAAGUGCGGACGUACUCCUGCACCAUCUUGCGAAGGUUAGGUGCGUGGAAAUCGCGGCGGAGACGAUGCAAUGUGCGCAGGACGCCUUCAUGCCCAUCAUCGUGCAUGGCACUGAGAAUCUCCUGGAGUAGCGGGGAUGACGGCGGAAUGUAGAGGCGGCUGUUGAAAGUAACGAGGCCGUCGGAGAGCGCCCAAGGCUGUUGCCGCGCACCUGCCGUGAUAUCCUCCCGCAGUGUGACGAGCGCCGGAUCAGUGGACGUCGCUUGCCGGAGGCGAUUGAUGAAGUCGAAACGAGGCCCUGAGACCGCCAUGAUCGUCGUCUCCUCCGUGUCACGGCGGGAAAGUGCAUCCGCCACCGUGUUGGUACUACCUGCCUUGUACUCCACCGUAAAGUCGAAUCCCAGGAGUUUGCCAACCCAAUGAUGCUGCGGGAUGGUGGCCAAACGCUGGUCAAGCAGAAAUUUGAGGCUGUAAUGAUCCGUUUUUACCACAAACUGACGCCCCCAUAGGUACGGCCUCCAAUGGCGAAUCGCGAGCACCAGGCCGAUGAGUUCCCGUUCAUACGCUGCCAGGGAACGGUGACGUGGCGCGGCUGGCCGGCUAAAGAAAGCCACCGGGUGGUGGUCCUGAAGAAGGACGGCCCCGAAACCGUACGUCGAUGCGUCACACUCGACGAUGAACGGCCGUGUAAAAUCCGGUAACGCGAGGACGGGAGCCAUGGUGAUUGCCGUCUUGAGGGUGUUAAAAGCUGCUGCCGCCUCCGGCGACCAAGAGAAACCAUCCUUGCGAAGGAGGGCCGUCAGGGGCGCGGCAACCACGCCAAAGUCCUUGACAAACUUGCGGUAGUACCCCGCAAGGCCGAGAAAGCCCCGAACCGCGCGCGCCAAGCGUGGUUGCGGCCAGUCCGCCACUGCCUGCACCUUUUCUGGAUCCAUGGCCACGCCUGCAGCGGAGAUGGUGUGACCCAGGUAUGCGAUUGAUUCAACGGCGAACGUGCAUUUGGAGCGCUUGACGAAGAGACGGUGCUGGUGCAGGACCGUGAAGACGGUGCGCACAUGUCGGAGAUGGUCAGCCCAUGUCUCGCUGAAAAUGAGGAUGUCGUCAAAGAAGACGAGAACAAAACGGCGCAGGUAUGGCCGCAGCAGAUCAUUCAUGAGGGCCUGGAACGUGGCCGGCGCGUUGCAGAGUCCGAACGGCAUCACCAGAAACUCGUAGAGGCCGUCAUGAGUACGGAAAGCUGUCUUCGGGAUGUCCUCCGCACGCAUCCGCACCUGGUGGUAGCCGGAACGUAAAUCGAGCUUGGUGAAGAAACGAGCGUGCCGUAGCUCGUCGAGGAGUUCGUCCACCACCGGAAUCGGGAACGCAUUCUUGACAGUAAUGGCGUUCAGGGCGCGAUAAUCGAUGCAGAAGCGCCAGGACCCGUCGGCCUUGCGGACCAGCAGUACCGGGGACGAGAAUGCGGAACAACUCGCACGGAUGAUACCUUGGGCGAGCAUGGCGGCGCACUGACGCUCCAGCUCGUCCUUGUGCGCGGCCGGGUAUCGAUACGGACGGACGGCCACCGGGGCGGAACCAGGUAGCAGGGUGAUGCCGUGAUCGCGGCUGCGGGGCGGUGGCACGCCGGAGGGGUCGGCGAAGAUGCCUUCGAACUCGGUGAUGAUGGCGUCCAGGAAGUCGCGGCCGCUGCAUGAUUUUAGGGCUGGCCCGUCCGGUCCUGCAAUGCCGUGCCAGCACACCCGAUGGCCCCGCCGCCAAAAUGUCAUGGAGAGGGCUCGGAAAUCCCACAGGAUCGGUCCGAGCGACGCCAGCCACUGCGUGCCCAGGACGAUGUCGUAGCCCGCGAGCGGCAAGGCGAGGAAAUCCUCCGCGAACUCCUCGUGGCCGAUGCGGAAGGGCACGACGCGGUACGCGCCCUGGCAUGGAACGCGCUUGCCGUUGGCCACCGUGACGCGCAUCUUCUCUGUGGUGGGGGGCGGUAACGUAGCACGAGCGGCCGCCUCUUCGGCGAUGAAGUUGUGGGUGGAGCCUGAAUCGAUCAGGGCGAGAAGGGAGACACCUCCGAGAGUAAUCUGCAUCUGCAUGGUUUCACUCGUGCGCACGCCGGCGAUCGCGUGGAGCGAGAUUUGAGGGUCGGCCCGCGAUGCAUCAUCAGUGGCGGAGGCCGCGUCGUCGUCGUCGUCGUCCGGCGCUAAGUCGAGGAGAAAGAUGCGCUGGCACACCCGGUUGUGGCCCCUGCCAAACUUCUCGUUACAGUUGAAGCAAAGGCCCAGGCGACGGCGUUCCUCCAUCUCUGUCUGGGAGAGACGCUUGAUUGGGCGUCCGUCCGGCAGAUUGUGGCCCUGCUGAGGUGCGGCUGGUGGGGCCGGAGCGGGGGGCGCGAGGCGUGGUCCUGGUGUCGGCAGGAUGCCCUUCUGUGGAACACGCACUGGUGGCGCGGCGGAAAGCGCGCACUGGUCGCGCAGCUCCAAUUUGCGGGCGAGGCUCAUGGCGACGGCGAGGGACUGUGGGUUAUGGAUCUCCACGUCGAGGCUGAGGGGUGGCUGGAGUCCCACGGUGAAGAUCUGCACUUUCUGUGUCUCGGAUAAGGUGCCUGCCCGGGGAAGGAGUGCCUCAAGCCGCUCCUGGAAGUCAACGACGGACGUCGUGCGUUUGCACGCCAUUAGUUCGCCCAGUGGGUUAGCGCGCAGCGGUGGCCCGAAGCGGAGAUUGAGCAGCUCGGAGAAGCGGCGCCACGGAGGUGUGCCCUCGUCGCGCUGGACCUGCAUAUACCAUAGUUGGGCAGGACCCUCGAGAUUGUAGGACGCCAUCCACACCUUCUCCUCCUCGGCGAUCCGUUGUUGAUGGAAGAAGGACUCGCAUCUGUUGAUGAAGGCGAGCGGAUCAGACUUGCCGUCGAACUUGGGGAAGUCCAUCUUCUGGAACCUGGGCGGCCGAUCAUUGUGGUGCUGCCCAUCAUGGGCGGCGGCAGCGCUGGACGAAGAGGAGGACUUGUCCUUCUGGAGUGCGGUGACGGACGACUGCAGGGACGUCACCGUGGCCGUCAAGGCCUCGAUCAUCUUAGCCAGAUCCGCGGUGGUCGGUUCUGCCAUGCCGGAAGUGACCGAGGCGGCAGCGGAUUGUGGCGAUGUCGGGGAGCUGGGCGCGGACACAGGGGGGAAAGCGACCGGCGGAUGGAGCGUGGACGAGGAGGAGGAUCGCCUGGAACCUGAUACCAAGUUGUCAAGGGCCUCGGUGCCCAAGACAGCAGGACCUCGACUACGUAGUUCGUAGUCGCGGUGGAUAGGAGCGCUAGGGUUUUUGCCUGGCUGCUCUAUGAUGCGGGAGGGGAAGAUAGAAGGAAAUAACUUUAUUGCUUAUCCCUAAAGGGUGCUAACUAUCUGAUAUAUAAAGGCCCCAUGGGCUAAUAACAAACUAGAAACCUAUACGAAACAAACUAGUCUAGGAACUAAUGUGCCCGGAUCAGGACUCCUGUCCAGCCUGCGCCUUGCCUGAUGCGGCCAUCGGCUGCUCCUGGCCGCGCGGCCCACGUCUGUAAGACAUGCCCCACAUGACAAAAACCACUAAGAUACCCUGAUACAAAAGCAUGUUCAUUUCUAUCUUACAACAAUGUCUUUCAAGAAGCAUAGUUAGUUAUAAGCUGUGGUGAAUUCCUAUCAGUGACACAAAGUUGUCAGCUACUUAAAUAGGCCCUCUAUGGCUAGCCCUAUAACGUGUACCAUUAAUCCAUGAUGGUCAUAAAUCUCACAACUCUAUCAUUCACACAUCUAACCCUGGAUAAUGCAUUUACUAAGCAGGUUCAAUUUGCAAUUAGAUUUGGUUUUCAGGCAUAUAUGCUUAUGCUGAUUUUCACUAUGUGCAUGCUUACAAAAUUUCAAUUGAAAGCACCACAGAGCCCAGAACACCAAGAAUGAUUGUUGCACAAGGAAUUCAGCAUGUUCAAGUUAAUUAAUCUGCCAAUAUACAAGUAAACAUAGUACAGAGAACAAUAUUCCGAAUCUAGGAGCUAGGUAAGCAACACAUAAGGCAAUCACCGACUGUGCAAGCUUAAUAAUCAAUUAAACUAUACUAUCCAAACUACGGUGAUUGAAGCAUAAACUGUUGUGGCUCUGAAUUUACCGGGGUGCUCUUCGUCGAGCUCCGUUGGCUGAGCGGCCGGGCGAGGUCGCGGAGGCAGAGGUAGGUGGUGUCGGUGGGCAAGGGGCAUGCAUCAGCAGCAGCAGAAAUGCUGCAGCUGAGCUAGACAGUCGUAGGUGCAGUAGCAGCUUGUAGCAAGGAGCGGCCUGCACUCAGCUCCUUGAGCGACUGGCCACAAAACAAGAAGUUGUACUGUUGGGCAGGAGGUCCUCAACCCCGCAACUCCUCCAGCAGGCUCCACUGUUUGCCGUUGAAUUAUAAGCCAUGGCAUUGGAGUGGGAUGCGUCCACACUGACGACAUUGAACAGACAGGGGUGGUGGCUGCGAACUGCUUGUACGUGGUGGUGGCGUAGUACCAUCAGGGAGGAGGAAGAGUGGUGGCAGGGGAGCAUCACCUGCUGCCGGAGGAUAAGUUGGCAAUAUCGUAUUCUAUUAUGUAUUGAACUUAAGUGCAGGGUUGAAUUGAACUUUUCUAACACAUAUUCACUGAACUCGGUCCCCUUGAAUGUUUAUUUUUAUAGUUAUGUUGGCAUGAGGCUAUGAAAUACAUCUCAACAAUUGUUUUUGGGUGAGUUUCAAAAAAUAUAAUACUAAGUGAACAGUACAACCUAACCUAACUGGAUAUGCAACAUGCAGUAGACAUGUUCAGUGUCUCGACUUUUCACAAAAAACUGCAGAUGUACUAUCAUCUAUGCAAAAAUGUAUCAUAGAAAUAAUGGAGAAGGCUUAGUUAAAAUGGGAACACCUUGUUCAGUUUUGAUCAAAUUAAUAUCACAAAGAGCACUCGCUACCUUCUCUACAGAGUCCAGGUUAUAGAAAAAAUGGUGAAGAAAUAAGAACAAUUAUCACUUGUACUGCCUAGAAAAUAACACGCAAACUUGUAGCAUUUGAUCAGUUGAACUUGUCAUAAUAGAAAUAAAUAACUAUGUACACGGAUACAACUUGCAUCAUCCAUGACAGUUUGAACUGUUGUCAUCCAUGAUGGUAUUGUGAUUACUUGAAUGGGUAGCGACGGUCAAUGUUCUAAACUGUACAAAAACUCAUGUUCUUUGACAGUUUAAAUUUUGUCUAAACUUACCGGUUUCCUGUCUCUGAACUUACAAAACUUACAGAGAUGUACUCAACCACCACCACGAUGAUAAGAUGGACACAGACCAAAGGAUUCGAUGCUCAUCAGUAAGUAGCAGGAUAACAUUCAGCAGGGCACGGUACGGUUGAGACAAAAAGAUUGAGAGUUUCAGACGAUAC